rnacentral:rRNA from 1 species
UCGACGGGUGAGUAACGCGUGAGAACCUGCCUCUAAGUCGGGGACAACAGUUGGAAACGACUGCUAAUACCGGAUGAGCCGUAUUGGUAAAAGAUUUAUCGCUUAGAGAGGGGCUCGCGUCUGAUUAGCUAGAUGGUAGUGUAAAAGACAACCAUGGCGACGAUCAGUAGCUGGUCUGAGAGGAUGAUCAGCCACACUGGGACUGAGACACGGCCCAGACUCCUACGGGAGGCAGCAGUGGGGAAUUUUCCGCAAUGGGCGAAAGCCUGACGGAGCAAUACCGCGUGAGGGAGGAAGGCUCUUGGGUUGUAAACCUCAAAACUUAGGGAAGAAAAAAAUGACGGUACCUAAUAUAAGCAUCGGCUAACUCCGUGCCAGCAGCCGCGGUAAUACGGAGGAUGCAAGCGUUAUCCGGAAUCAUUGGGCGUAAAGAGUCCGUAGGUGGCACAUCAAGUCUGCUUUUAAAGACCGAAGCUCAACUUCGGAAAGGGAGUGGAAACUGAAGAGCUAGAGUAUAGUAGGGGUAGAGGGAAUUCCUAGUGUAGCGGUGAAAUGCGUAGAGAUUAGGAAGAACACCAGUGGCGAAGGCGCUCUACUGGGCAUAUACUGACACUGAGGGACGAAAGCUAGGGGAGCAAAAGGGAUUAGAUACCCCUGUAGUC